GCCCGGAUGGUCUAGAGGUAUGAUUCUCCGUUUGGGUAUUUCAUCUGAAAUCGGAGAGGUCCCGCGUUCAAUCCGCGGUUCGGGCC